GUAGGUGGCAAGCGUUGUCCGGAAUUAUUGGGCGUAAAGCGCGCGCAGGCGGUUCUUUAAGUCUGAUGUGAAAGCCCACGGCUCAACCGUGGAGGGUCAUUGGAAACUGGAGAACUUGAGUACAGAAGAGGAAAGCGGAAUUCCACGUGUAGCGGUGAAAUGCGUAGAGAUGUGGAGGAACACCAGUGGCGAAGGCGGCUUUCUGGUCUGUAACUGACGCUGAGGCGCGAAAGCGUGGGGAGCAAACAGGGAUUAGAUACCCUGGUAGUCCACGCCGCAAACGAUGAGUGCUAAGUGUUAGGGGGGUUUCCGCCCCCCUUAGUGCUGCAGCUAACGCAUUAAGCACUCCGCCUGGGAGUACGGCCGCAAGGCUG
rnacentral:rRNA from 1 species